GAUGAACGCUGACAGAAUGCUUAACACAUGCAAGUCUUUGGCGAAGCUGUGCUUGCACAGCCUAGCCAAGGCGGACGGGUGAGUAACGCGUAAGGGACUUGCCCUGCAGUCAGGGAUAACAGACGGAAACGACUGAUAAAACCUGAUAAAGUCAGGCGGACCCAUGUCCAGCCUGAUGAAAAGGAAUGCUGCAGGAGAGCCUUGCGUCCUAUUAGCUUGUUGGUGGGGUAACGGCCCACCAAGGCGAUGAUAGGUAGCCGGCCUGAGAGGGUGGACGGCCACAAGGGGACUGAGAUACGGCCCUUACUCCUACGGGAGGCAGCAGUGGGGAAUAUUGGACAAUGGGGGCAACCCUGAUCCAGCAAUUCUGUGUGCACGAUGAAGGUCUUCGGAUUGUAAAGUGCUUUCAGCAGGG
rnacentral:rRNA from 1 species